ensembl:snRNA U6 U6 spliceosomal RNA
CUUGAAAACAAAGUAAAAUGAAGUAGAAAUGAUAGAGAAGAUUAGUGUGGCCCCUGUGCAAAAAUGACAUGGAAAUUCAUGAAGCAUUCCAUAUUUUU